AAUAAACUUCAAGAGCGCAAUGAAUUAUGAAUUAGAACUUCAUCGCAUGGAAAAUAUCAAAGGGGAUGAUGAAAAUCUUGUCGAUUAUUCUGGAAUAAGAAUGAUCAGAAAGGGUUCGACUUGUUUGAUGAAUGGAACCGUGGAUAUACAACUGCAAUCAGUCCAGAUCAUACAAGACACUUUAUAAAAAAUACGUCGAUCCAAUAUGUUUAAAAAUUAUACAAAUUUUCCUAUAAUACCACCAAAAGGAAUGUGCUCUAUUUUGAAGGGAACCUUUUAUGUCAAGAACGCUCCUGUCCUAUGGGUAAAGACCUACUUCCUGGGCAUUUGCCUAAAGGUUUAUGGCUGUAAGAUCAAAAGUUUUUUAAGAAUGGCAAAUAUAUUGGAGGGAUGAGGCUGUGUUUUUACGUUAGAGACAAAAUGUUAAAAAAUAAAAAUUAUCUUUAAAUAUAGUACACAGUUUUUUAAAAUACAAAAUAAAAACAAUGAAAAUUAUUAUUUUAACCGAAAAUCUUUAGUUGCUUAUCAAAAACGGUUUUGAAUUUAACUAAUCACGCCACAGAUAAUCAUAGGACAAGUUAUAAUGGACAACGACAGCCCAUCAAAAGACAUUUCAUCAAAGGACAGUUCAUCAU